rnacentral:rRNA from 1 species
AGGACUAACGCUGGCGGCGUGCCUAACACAUGCAAGUCGAACGAGGUAGCAAUACCUAGUGGCAGACGGGUGAGUAACGCGUGGUCAACCUACCUCUUAGUGGGGGAUAACUAGCCGAAAGGUUAGCUAAUACCGCAUACGAUCGUCGCGAGGCAUCUCGUGACGAUGAAAGGAGCAAUUCGCUAAGAGAGGGGGACUGCGUCCCAUUAGUUAGUUGGUGGGGUAAUGGCCCACCAAGACUCCGAUGGGUAGCUGGCUUGAGAGAGCGACCAGCCACACUGGAACUGAGACACGGUCCAGACUCCUACGGGAGGCAGCAGUGAGGAAUUUUCCGCAAUGGGCGCAAGCCUGACGGAGCGACGCCGCGUGUGGGAAGAAGGCCUUCGGGUCGUAAACCACUGUCGAAGGGGACGAUAUUGACGGUACCCUUGGAGGAGCCCCGGCUAACUACGCGCCAGCAGCCGC